GGCCUGUAUUUAUUUCAGCCCUGUAGCUCCUGAGAGCUGUUUGCACCAUCUUGGUAGCCUGGGAGUACCAACAGACUGUGGGGGCUGCCAGGAGGAGCGAGUGAAUGAAUGAAAUUUCCUCAGAGCUAGAAAUUUUACUUUCACCUGGUUCUGCAAGCAACUAAGUAUCCAGUUUCAUCUAAAUCGCUGGAGAUGUUCAUUACUAAAUUCUCAGAACAUUCCACCCACAGUGAGUAACCAAUUCACAUGACUGCUGGAAUAGCAUGAAUAAUACCUAAGAAAUAAAAAUGUACAUGAGGAAAACCAACCAUCCAAAGAGACAGUAAAUGAGAGGUUAAAAAUAAUGUCAGACUGUCAGACUCCCAGCUGAAAGCCUGAAGUUCUUGAAGGCUACAGGAGUAUUUCUUAAAUUCAGUACUUGGCUUUCUUAAAACAAAACAAAACUUUUUUAUAUUGCUUGAGAAGAGAAUCAUGGAGAUAUUUUAGAUGCAAUGAAUCCAACAUUUGCAAUAAAACAGCAUGCCUACACAAGCUCUGUAUGAUAACAUAUUCCUUCAAAAUCUGAAAGCUUCCCCUGAGAAAAGAGGAAGGCACUGUCCCCAUGCCUUCUGAUCACCAAGAGCCCCAGCUGGUGGUAGUUACCUCCCCAGGGAAGGAGGGCAGGCUGGGAUGCUGCUUUUACAUGGUGAAGAAAUGUUAGUUGCUUGCUGCCCAAGGGGUCAAGGAAGUGAGUAUUGUGGUUAACUCAUGGAAGCUCACGGAAUUGCCUCAAAACGUGUCUGGUCUCCUGCUUUGUCUUCCCCCAGCUAUCAAGGUCCAAUGUGGCUGAUUCCAAUGAAACUGUUGGUUGCAGUGCCAGAGCUGCUAUAGUUUCUUCACUGUCUGAAGAAACUGAAUUCUAGAAAAGAACUAAAAUGAUCUGACCCAUGCUGUGCUGUUCUGUAUUUGACAGUGGAAUCCGAUUAGGACUGAAUUCAGCUGUGGUUAUCAUCUAUCUAGCAAACUGUUUGUGUGUUUUGGGAAGGCACCUGGGGGGAAAAGGCAGUGGAUGUGUUCUUCUGUGAUGGACAGGGCUAUCUAUACAGGAGUUCUGGAGGCAGAAAUUACACAACUCACACAGGAACAGCAACGAUGUGGUAAUACUGACACAUGUAGCCUCAUACCACGUGGUCGAUAUCUUGCACAACGGGACUCGGGUUUUUGGGUAGCCACCAGGUUCUUAUGUGAAGCUCUAAGACUGAUUUGCGUGUCAGAGGACUUGGGGAGAAGAUACUCAGAAGCAUUCAAACUUCUUCAUAUUGAAUGGCACCUUUUUGGAGUUGGCACCAUUUCAAAGUUAUAGUAAGUUACAAACCAUGUUCUUCUGUCAUUGUCAUUUUUUUCCAGUUAGAUAACAAAAGAAGGAUUAAUGUUGUUGGAGUAAUGCUAACACUUCUUAACUGCAGGACAGUGAAUACUGGUAAUUCUUUCUCUUACUCAGCAGACAAGUUAUUUCCCAGUAAAAUAAUAUCUAUUUAGAGGACCAUUUUUAAGCAGCACUGGAGAGACAGGAUAGUAAUAUUCAUAUACAGAAAAUACCUGCCUUUAUGAAAGAGGAUAUUUCUUGUUUACUGUUGGUCGUUAGAGCCACAUUUUAAUACACAUAGUUGUCAUAUAUUAUGAGAAAAUGUGUGUACAUGUUUCAUUAUAAUUUAUGAUAAAGACCUACACAUUAAAAUAACAGACUUAAGUCCAGAUCAUGCUCCAGAACAAGGUAUUGCUUUAUAAUAGUGAAUUCACCUGAGGAGAAAUACUUUAAUCAUUCUGUUACUGCUUCAAGAAAGACUUACAUCUGUGGUAUUUCAACCUACUAAGAAACAGCUGUAGAAAUAAAAAAUAACUCUAGGAUAGGCCUGCACAAUAAAAUGGAGUAUUUCCUGCUUUCACAUAUAACAUAUGGGACCUAACAGAUACUGCCUGACAAUUUUUGGGUGGCAGUAGAAAUCCAAGUGAAAUAAAACGAAGGUUUGCUUUUGCUAUGUAGGUUCAUAGAAGACUGUAUAACCUAGAUGAAGUGUUGUGUUUGCAUAUGCUCAGCUUACAACUCUGUAACUCUGUUAAGCUCUGGUUCAUAUAAAUAUCCUCUGAACUCAAUGUAAAAGAAAAAAAAAAUAAAUGACUGCCCCACAUAAA